GCAUCCAUAGCUCAGCUGGAUAGAGUACUCGGCUACGAACCGAGCGGUCGGAGGUUCGAAUCCUCCUUAGUGCG
rnacentral:tRNA from 1 species